GGGGCCGUAGCUCAGCCUGGUAGAGUAUCUGCCUCUUAAGCAGACUGUCGAGGGUUCAAAUCCCUCCGGCCUCG
rnacentral:tRNA from 1 species